rnacentral:rRNA from 1 species
UACGUAGGGUGCAAGCGUUGUCCGGAAUUAUUGGGCGUAAAGAGCUCGUAGGCGGUUUGUCGCGUCGAAUGUGAAAACCCGGAGCUCAACCCCGGGCCUGCAUUCGAUACGGGCAGACUAGAGUUCGGUAGGGGAGUCUGGAAUUCCUGGUGUAGCGGUGAAAUGCGCAGAUAUCAGGAGGAACACCGAUGGCGAAGGCAGGUCUCUGGGCCGAUACUGACGCUGAGAAGCGAAAGCAUGGGGAGCGAACAGG